rnacentral:misc_RNA from 1 species
GGAAUGCGAUAAGUAAUGUGAAUUGCAGAAUUCAGUGAAUCAUCGAAUCUUUGAACGCACAUUGCGCCCGCCAGUAUUCUGGCGGGCAUGCCUGUUCGAGCGUCAUUUCAACCAUCAAGCCCCCGGCUUGUGUUGGGGACCUGCGGCUGCCCGCAGGCCCUGAAAAACAGUGGCGGGCUCGCUGUCACACCGAGCGUAGUAGCAUACAUUCUCGCUCAGGGCGUGCUGCGGGUUCCGGCCGUUAAACGACCUUCAUAACCCAAGGUUGACCUCGGAUCAGGUAGGAAGACCCGCUGAACUUAAGC